GCGAGACUCCGUGUCAAAAAAAAAAAAGAUUCCUCAUCUUCGAACUGGUAUUUCUCUAGAGAAGGAGAAUUGGGCUGAGUGGCCCUAAACAUCAGAGUCCUAAGCUUCCGUUUUGCAGAUGAGAAGCAGGCCCAGAGCGAGACAGUGACUUAAUAUUGUUCCCAUCACAGAGCCCAGGCUCGGAUUCUUUCCAAAGCACUCGGGGGCUGGUGCCCAAUUCCAUUGCCGGGGGACUCUACAGCCAUCCACCGAGGCCAGGCUUCUCUGAAGGGAGUUGAAGAUAACGGGCAGCAGGUGUUUGCUAGCAGACACUCAAUCUUCCCACACCCCAUCAGCAGACAGCCCUGGCAGAGGGGAAUCUGAGGCCCCAGCUCAGUGGGAGAGGCAGGAGGUGGCUUUGUCCUGAGGGCGCCGUGGACCAAGGA